GAAAAUAUUCUCAUUACAUAUUAGGCGUUGCCAUGUAUUACCCAUUCACGUUCAAAAUAUCAACAAAAAUUGUGUGUUACACUAAUAAAUAUCAUUGGGGGAAAGGGGGAUUAAUUUUUAAUAUAGCUAGGAAGUGUGGAGGCAUAUGACAAAAAGAAAGAAUCCAAAGUACUCUAUCCACGAUAUUGAAAAUAAACUACUGCUACAUCCUAAGAAAUUAAAGAAUGAUAGACGAAAACUAUUUGAUACAAAAUUCAAUAAACAAAAUAAGGCAAAAAAAAUCUCCUUUGGCUUGGGAUCUGGUUACCAAGGAAGAGAAAAAGUUAUACUAUAUGAUAACAUAAAUGCAAAACUCAAAGAAGUUUAAAAGUUCACCCCCGAAACUUUACUUGUUGGUAUACAUAAAAGCAGAAACGCACUUUUUCUUUCCAUUAAAGAAAACAACAACAAUAACUACCCUAUAUACUCCCAUUAUGUGGGGUCUGGAAAAUUCCAUUAAAGAAAAGAACCUAAGAAUUAGUUGUAUAGGACAAGGCGGAGAACAACAGUUAAUUAGGAACUAAACAUACAUCUGAUUUACCAACUAAAAUACUCUGAUCAAACAUCUUUGUCCAGAACAUAGAAGCAGUCCUCAUUCUCCUCGCCGCCGACUUUCUCAAGGCUUUCUUAUUUAAUUUUGUUCUGCUCCAUUGGAU
rnacentral:lncRNA from 1 species